rnacentral:lncRNA from 1 species
ACGCGGCUCAGAUCCUGUGUUGCUGUGGCCGUGGCAUAGGCCGAUGGCUACAGCUUUGAUUUGACCCCCAGCCAGGGAACCUCCAUAUGCCUCGAGUGUGGCCCUAAAAAAAAAAGAAAGAAAGAAAAAGAGAGACUGGAUAUAGUUUCUCGUGCUAUAUAAUAGAACCUCAUUGCUUAUCCAUUCUAUUUACAGAUAAUAGAGUUGUAGCCUCUCUUCCUUCUGGUGUCUGCCCCCUUUGUGGCUGAAGUGGGUAGGGGGCCUGCAGUAGGCUUCCUGAUGGGAGGGGCUGAUGCCUGCCCACUGGUAGGUGGAGCUGAUUCUAAUCCCUCUGGUGGGUGGGGCUUAGUCUGGGAUGCGAUUAGAGGCAGCUGUGGCCUGAGGGGUCUCUAGGCAGCCUGUUUACUGAAGGGCAGGGCUGUGAUCCCACCUGGAUUGGUGUUUGCCCUGGGGCUUCUCAGCACUGACUGACAGGUGGGGCCAGACUUUCCCAAAAUGGCCCCCUCCAGAGAAAGGCACCGCUGCUGUAUAUUCCCCAGAGCUUUGCUUUCAAUGUCCAUCCCUCACAACAAGCCACGUUCACCCCUGUUUUCCCAGGAUGUCCUCCAAGAACUGCAGUCAGGUUUGACCCAGAUUCCUAUGGAGACUCUGCUUUGCCCUGGGACCCAGUGCACGUGAAAGCCUGUGUGCGCCUUUUAAGAAUGGGGUCUCCGUUUCCCCCAAUCCCGGGGAGCUCCUUCGCACAAGCCCUGCUGGCCUUCAAUGCCAGACGCUCCAGGGGUUCUUUCUCCCAGCGCCAGACCCCCACACGUGGGAGUUUGAUGUGGGGCACAGAGCUUUCCCUCCUGUAGGUGAGUCUCUGUGAACCAGUUAGUUUCCAGUCUGUGAGGCUUCCCACCCGGGAGGUAUGGGGUUGUUUAUGUCACGAAAUCACCCCUCCUACCUCUUGAUGUGGCCUCCUCAUUUUCUUCUGGAGUAGGAUAUCUUAUUUAAGGUUUCCAGUCCAUUUGGGUGAAGAGUGCUCAGCCUUUAGUCGUGGAUUUUGUUGUUUUUAGGAGAGAGGUUGAGCUCCAGUGCUUCUAGGGUGCCAUCUUAAUCCCACCUCUCACCUGCUUACCUAUUCCAAAUGUACCAGUUUGCAUCUACCAACCCCAAAGAAGCCUCUUCUCAUUCUAGCUUUCAGUCUUGGUUUUCUGCUUCAAUGUGCUUGCAGGACAAACCCCGACCUUAAAGACAUCCCCCGUUACUGGAGACAACAAUCUCUGCAGGUUCUUUACUAGUUUCACUACUGAGCAAACUAUGCUACCGCAGAGAGCAUUUUACUCGUUCAACUAAGGAAUAGGGGAAUAAUUUCAGUAUGUGCUGUACGUACCGUCAGCAUGUGUUCCUGUCACAUGCGUUUAUCUCUCUUUGCUGCCUCCUCCCUCUGUGAUCUGUGAUUUGUUCAUAAAUAAUACACAAUCUGAGAGCAAAUACAGGAAUUUCAUCUUGUUGCAUCAAAAGAAUUUCUGUUGGAGUUGGGAAUUUUUUUUUUUUUUUUUGCUAAUGGUAUUUAAAUAUAUCUGGAAAAACUAGUUGUGUCUAGCAAAAAUGCCUUAAUGUGGAAAAAAAAUUAUCCACAUUAGAAUAUUGGUCUUGAAAAUAUAAGAUGGAAUGUUUAUUUAGAAUAGAUGAUUAUGAUGAUUUUAGCUGCAUUUGUAAUAUCUUAUUGAUCUUUGAGAAUUAAACCUUUAGGAAACCCACUGUAUUUACCCUGAUGGGCUGCAAAUCACAAUAUGUACCAAGGCUGAUGCAUAUUUCUUUUGGGAAAAAAGUGAUCAAAGUGAGCAUGUCUGUGUCUCCACCAGAUUUUAGGUUUCCUGAAGUCAGGGAGAGGGGCUUUGUAUCUGUCCUAGCAUCAGGCACAGGAACUUGCAUAAUGGAGUGCUGGAGCUGACUUGCUCUGGUUUAGGCACGCUUUGGCAAUUUUGCAAGUCACUUGUAAAACCCAGGGUGGCUUGAAAUUGGCCAUAGUGGAAAUCUUUGCUCCACAGAAACUGACCAACAACAAAUCAGGGUUUUGUUUUGUUGACUGCUAGUUUUCCAGGAAAUGUUUGCUUGUCUAGAAUGUGGGAGCCUCUAUUUUGAGAAAAUAACCACAACAAAUCCUAAACUAAUGCUUUAUGAUUGAGUUGGAACUUCUUCUUUUGCUGACUGGGCCAUCUCUCCCUGCAAUAGUGUUAUUCCACAAUAUGCAUGAAGAGACCGGGUAGAACGUAUCCUAAUUUUCCAAGCACAGACCCUUGUCUUAUAGGCUAUGUCUACCAUAAAGAAGGCCUUUCCAACUUUAUUGUGUGUUACACUCUUUCCAUACUGCCUUCUUUCAAUUAAUGCUCUGACACUGAAAGCAUAGUAAUUAAUACUCUGAUUUCCGUCUUGGGACCCCACAGUGCACAAGGCACUUUGCCAGGGACUAAGGGACACUCAACAUGACGAGGACCUAGUUCAUGCUGUCUGAUAUUGCUCUUCUGGGAGAAGGAACAGGAGACUAUAAUUGAUGGAGAAUCUGGACUGGCCAUUCUGUCCUGUUACUGUGAUGUGUGGAGCUAAUAUCCAUAGGAAGCAACAGGUCAGAGCCAGGGUCUCCCACUCAGCUAGAGCUAGAACAAAAACAUGGCAUAAGGUGUAACAUAGUCCAGGAAGCUGUGAAUCAAGAAAAGUCAGUGUAAGUCAAUGUGGGGAUGAUGGGACGCUGAGUCUGGAUAUUCUAGACGUGAAGACUGAGCAGCAGGAUAAUUCUGGCAUUGACCUGUGCGUGUGGUAAUUUCUAUGUUUCCAAUCUGGUGACUGUGGCAUGGGGUGCUGAGUCCAUGGGAAGAGAUGUCAGGGGCACCUGUGAUCUCCCAGAGCUUGCAGAUGACUUGAAGUGUCCUUAAACCCCCAGGAAAAGGGAGUUCAUGAUGAAGUCAGAAGAAAUAAGUGUUAAUAUUUUACAUUUAGAAUAGAUAAGCAAUGAUGUCCUACCGUAUAGCGCAGGGAACGACAUCCAGUCUCUUGGGGUAGAACAUGAUGGAAGAUAAUAUGAGAAAAAGAAUGUAUAUAUAUGUUUGACUGGGUCACUUUGCUGUGCAGUAGAAAUUGCACAACAUUGUACAUAAACUAUACUUUAAUAAAAAAAAAAUCAAGAAGGAUUUUAAGGAAGAGGGAAUUCCCUGGUGGUUCACUGGGUUAAGGAUCCGGGGUUGUCACUGCUGUGGCAUGAGUUCAAUGCCUGGCCUGGGAACCUCUGCAUACCU